rnacentral:rRNA from 1 species
AUUGAACGCUGGCGGCAGGCCUAACACAUGCAAGUCGAACGAGUGGCGGACGGGUGAGGCAUAUAUAGGAAUCUACUCUGUCGCGGGGGAUAACUCAGGGAAACUUACGCUAAUACCGCAUAGGAUUGAAUGAGCCGAUGUGGGAUUAGCUAGUGGGUGGGGUAAAGGCUCACCAAGGCGACGAUCCGUAGCUGGUCUGAGAGGAUGAUCAGCCACACGGGAACUGAGACACGGUCCAGACGCCUACGGGAGGCAGCAGUGGGGAAUAUUGGACAAUGGGCGCAAGCCGGAGACAGCCAUGCCGCGUGGGUGAAGAAGGCCUUCGGGUUGUAAAGCCCUUUUGUUGGGAAAGCGGUACCCAAAGAAUAAGCACCGGCUAACUACGUGCCAGCCGCCGCGGUAAUAC